GGGGACGUUCUUGGAUUCGACAGGGGUCCCCCGAGCUUAUUAAGCGUGUCGGAGGGUUGGCUCCGUCAUCAACACAUUUCGGUUAAAUAUAACUGACAAAUCAAACAAUAAUUUCGCAGUAGCUGCGUAAUAGCCACUGCAUCGCCUAACAGCAUCUCCUACGUGCUGUUAACGCGAUUCAACCCUAGUAGGAUAUGCUAAACACUGCCGCUUGAAGUCUGUUUAGAUGAAAUAUAAUCAAGCUAGUAUCAUGUUGGUUGUUUAUUGC
rnacentral:tmRNA from 1 species